AACAUACUCAACUGGUAAGACCAAUUUUUCUAUUCCACCAAUGACAUUGCUCCUGUUAGAUUCAAUAAGAGAAAGAUUUUCAUACUUGUGAAGAAACCAGUAAUUGUUAACACCUUGUUAACACAUUAACAAUUUGUCAUUUGUCCUUGUCUACCAUGACCACAUCAGCAGAAUUAGUUGAGGACAAAGGACAAAAUCUCUCCCUCUCUUCUUGCCUCUCUCCUGCCCCCAACCAUGGAACAGAACAAAAUCUAGGGGCAUCGAGGUGGCCCAGAAGACUGAGAGCCAAGGGCAUCUGAAGAAAAUGGGAAGAGGUGUUCUGGAUAUGAAAUCUUCUGACAUCUAUAAUAAGCAAAAGGUGAACCUGAAGAAGCUCCCUUUGGUUACUGAGAGAGACUUUUCCAUUUCCCUUUUAUUUGGAAUUAGAUGUUUGUGGUAUGUCCUUAGCUUACAAAUUCCCUGUAAUUUCAAGAGAGGGUAAAGGCUUUGUUAUUACAGACAAUCAGCUUGAAGCCAAGGAAAGAGCCCUCAUCUAGGGAGUCCAAAGACCUGGUCUCCAGCCCCCAUCUCCCCAUUGAUGGGUUUUGUGAGCUUGGACCAGUCACAUUUUUUAUUUGAGAUCUCCAUUUCUCUAUCAGGAAAAUGAGACAGUCAGAUAAUCAUGAGGAUCACUUUUAGCUCUGACUUUCUAGGAUAAAAAAUAAAUAUCCUCCUGCAAGUCA
rnacentral:lncRNA from 1 species